UACGUAGGGUGCAAGCGUUGUCCGGAAUUAUUGGGCGUAAAGAGCUCGUAGCGGUUCGUCGCGUCGGCUGUGAAAACCCGGAGCUCAACUCCGGGCCUGCAGUCGAUACGGGCGGACUUGAGUGUUGCAGGGGAGACUGGAAUUCCUGGUGUAGCGGUGAAAUGCGUAGAUAUCAGGAGGAACACCGGUGGCGAAGGCGGAUCUCUGGGCCGAUACUGACGCUGAGGAGCGAAAGCGUGGGGAGCGAACAGG
rnacentral:rRNA from 1 species